rnacentral:piRNA from 1 species
UAAUCAGCUUCCAAACGAUGACACCAUUG